UGGUUUAUUUCAUCUUUCUAAGAAAACAUAAAGUGUCGGUCGAGAGAGAGAUUUUAUGAUGGGCUGAUUGUUGAAUAACUCAAUAUGAGUGUGCUAAUAGAGAAGCAAUACAACAAGAACAAAGUCAAGUUCAAGUCAGAUGAAAUGCUGCACUGGGAGGGUUAAAACUGCAACGAAACAAAAAUCCCUCCUUAUUGCACCGUACGUGUAGCAAUACAUGAUUUGGAGGUAACAAUCCAACAACAUAUUCAAGCAACAAGAAGUGAGGAGGUGAUGCUUCACUGACUACCUGAGAACAUUCGUAAGAAGAAUCUACAACAUUAAGCCUCACAUGCAAUCCAACAACAUAAUGUAUCACCCAAACGAAAUCAAUUGAAGACUACAUUAUCAAAUGUCUACAGAACCAUUAAAACCAGGCACAACUCAGGAAGAAAGAAACAUUAAUUAGAAGUCAGAAGUAAAGACCAUUUAAGUCAUCAAAACCAAGAUGCUCUUCGCCUUCGAUGAGCCUGCCCAAAUAAGGUCACACUACCAGCAUAAAUCACUUCUAUAAUCAAAUAAACGAUGACAUCAAAAUAGCAAACUGAAGAGAAUAUGAGCAACAAAACUCCCCAAUAGAACAUGUAUGGUAAGCACAUCUUCAGAGAAGUCAACCUACAGAGCUUAAACCAUCCUGGCCAACUAAUCCCCAGAGAGUCAGAGACCAUGAAAUAGAAUGGUCACCAAAACAAAAAGAUUUUAUACAAAACCUCAUAUAACACUAAAGGCACAAGCAGAUAAGGGGAGGUAAGCUGAUCACAUCUCCAUCAAAUAUAAUGGUUACCAAAACAGAAUAAGGAAGAAAAAGAAAACACCACAUGUAAACAGAUACUGCAAAACAAAUUCAACCAUCGAUGCCAAAAUAUCAAAAUGGGACUCUGUCUGCUUUGCAUCCUCAACAUACCAAAAAAAUCAAAAUCCCAGAAGUAUGAAUUAAAAGAUUGUAGACGAACGAAACCUGAAUAACAACAUGUCUAGCUUUCUACAGAUGGAAAGUUCAAGUUGUUCCCUAUUGAGGCAAACUGUACACUUAAUUAGCAAAACUCCCAAUACACAGAUACAGGUCGAGUCAAAACUUCUAAGACAGUAUAUGAAAAACAAUCCUUCGUGGAAAAUUAAUUAAAACAGAACUUGUCGUCUUUGCAUCGUGCGUCAAUAUAUAAAGAAGGGGAGCAUUUCACAUUAAAAAAAAGAAGAAAAAAAAUAAAUAAAAAAUAAGCCAUCGUCAUGAGGCCAUGAGCAUAUGAGUAAAGAUCAAAUACUAGGAAUGGAUGUAGCAUGAGAGAUAAAGCUUUUGGUAAGAUAUAAAAGUUUACGCAGUUUAAUUAGGUCUAACUUCAGUAAACUAAACAAAAACAAUUGAUGAUUUCUUUAAUUUAAAGAGAAUACUCAAUAAAAAAAAUAAGAAAGUGAGAAUUAUAUAUUUAUAUUAAACUAGCAUAAGCAAAACAACUGGUUCCAAUGGGAUGAAAUACAAAGGCUACACAAAACUGCAACAAAACAAAAUUGCCUAUCAAGUUUCUUUGUUUUAUUGACUUUGGAUUAUGUAAUUAUUUAAUUUAUUUUCUUUUCGUCUGGUUUUGUUUCUACCGCUAACUUAUUGCACUCUGCAACAUUAAUAUCUAUACAUGAAAAAUGAGGCAGCUGAUAUAAGGUUGGUCAACAGUCCUUCAUACUUCAUAUGAAUUGGUAAUUUGGUAGUAUAUAUCUCAUAUUCAUAUGUGGAACAAGAAUAGCUUCGUUAGGUAACUAUACGUUAUGUCGUUACCGUCAAAGAAUUGUGACCGAAAAAGGAAUUUGAUUAAUCCAUUAGUCAAAAGUACAUUUUCCAGCAAUGUAUCAUAAUGUUUUGCCGAGGAAUUAGAACAUGGUUUAAGAUUUAAAAGGUAUUUUUUCUAAGACAUAACCUCGAGUUUUUUAUCCUAGAUUUAGUUUUCUUGUCUAAAAAAAAAGUAUCGGUUGACUUUCAAAAUUCAAUGCAUCAUGUGAUAAUAGGCUCUCAACUCAACACAAACCACUCAAUCGUUAUGAGUGGAUCAAAAUGGUAAUAAGCAUUAAGAUUUAAGAAACAAGGGUUUUUUGUUUUGUUUUGUUUUGUUGGUCUUGAUGAGAUAUUCUUUAGUUGUUCAACAUUUAAGGUGGGAGAGGUUGAGGCCAUCACAUCUCCCACUAAGCAAUGUCCUUCGUAGGAAAAGCACUUUGGCAUAACUUUUAUUUUUGUUUUGGUGUUGUUAUGAAAAAUAGAAAGAAAAUAGAGGAUAAUGGAAUUAACAACGAACACAAAAUGUGGGAUACAUUAUUAUUAAGCCUUUUGUAUAUCUCCAUUCAUCACAUCAAAUUUAUAAAGCAAACUCUUUUUAAGAAAUCUCUAGGCUUCUAUCGUCAUCACUUUCGAUAAAUCUUUAUGAGACAAUUCAAAUAUAAAGGUAUCUAAAGAAAGCAUUAUGGAGUUCUAUAUCUCAGCCACCCAAAUAGAGGAGAAGCGAAAUUUCACAUCUCGAUCUAGUCAAAAAUUCAGCAUUUAUCUAUAAGUGUGACGACAAUAAGACUAUAUAGGUUUGCACCGGAGAAUCUUAAUUAUAAAAACAUUUACUAUAACUAUUAUAACAAAAUAUUUAGAAAGAUAUCGAACCUGUAGCUAGGUAUCUUAAAAGAUUAACUACAUCUAGUUCUUGAUGCUUUCAAACCCAUAACAAGAAAGCCUUGGACUUGAUAGACUUAUAAUUAAAAAAAAAAGUAUAUCAUUCCAAGAUCCAGUUCUUUAUAACUUUUCCAUUGGAAUCUUUUGUAAGGGUAGUGUAUUAUUGAAAAUUUGGCUGGUUAUACGUGAGUACUGUUUGUGGUUGACAACAAGAUAUGUGAACUGUUUGUGAUGUAUACAUGUUUGUAUAAGACAAAAUGAUGGGUGUAGUUUAGCAAAAUAAAGAAAUUAAUGGACCAUUGGCUGGGGAUUAUUUUUGAGAAAUGAAAAUAAAGAGAGUGACGUCGUUAAGAGUGUGGGGGGGGAAGGAUCAGGAACAACUGAACAAGAGAUUUAGGAGAAAAGAUACCGAAUCAUCUUCUCUUGUGUUUUCCUACUUCUCUUGUGCUUUCCUACUUGGCUGGUUCCAAAAUAUUUUUCACACCCACUAAAAAAAUUUCAUGAUUUUUUAGGAAACGUAUUACCUUGAAUUUCCC
rnacentral:lncRNA from 1 species